AUUGAACGCUGGCGGCAUGCCUUACACAUGCAAGUCGAACGGCAGCGGGCCUUCGGGUGCCGGCGAGUGGCGAACGGGUGAGUAAUGCAUCGGAACGUGCCAUUGAGUGGGGGAUAACGUAGCGAAAGUUGCGCUAAUACCGCAUAUUCUGUGAGCAGGAAAGCAGGGGACCGCAAGGCCUUGCGCUCUUUGAGCGGCCGAUGUCAGAUUAGCUAGUUGGUGAGGUAAAGGCUCACCAAGGCGACGAUCUGUAGCGGGUCUGAGAGGAUGAUCCGCCACACUGGAACUGAGACACGGUCCAGACUCCUACGGGAGGCAGCAGUGGGGAAUUUGGACAAUGGGCGCAAGCCUGAUCCCAGCCAUGCCGCGUGCGGGACGAAGGCCU
rnacentral:rRNA from 1 species